GACCCAGGCCCGAAUUGUUACCGUAUGGUGUGCGUUCCGCGGAAGCGGAUAGGAUCUGGGUUUUUU
rnacentral:sRNA from 12 species